UUCACUCUCCAACCGUAAAUACUAGAGCCGUAUGUCCAAGACCUAGCUUCCAUAGGUGCAGACUUCAACAGUUUAUCUACCCAACCACAAAAAUUAGGAAUAUUCUCCACGAGUCCCAUGGUUCCUAAAGAAAAAUAUAAUAAUAUAAAGUUAAAGAAAUUGAUAAAGUCGAAAGAAAGAGGUACGGCCAAGGAUAAGAAACUUAUGUGAAAAAUUCCACUUCUCAGGGACACCAGGCACGAUCCUUGUCAUCUUUCGGAAUCUCCAACACUAUCUUACUCCUAGCUACUAAGGUGAAAACUCCAUUACGAAAUAACCUAGGGGGAUAGAGGUGAAUUAGGUAAGGGAAGGUAAAAUUAAUAUCUGCC
rnacentral:lncRNA from 1 species